rnacentral:lncRNA from 1 species
AAAGAGAUGGUCCAAUUGGAGCCGGCUUAUUGGGUCAUAGUGGGCUCGGGAGGCACCGGCCCGUAAUCCUUCCACCGUCGAAAGCGGGAGGUGGACGCUGCUCUGUGAAACCAGCCUCACGCGGUCUCCUCCGCUCUAAGAGUGUCCGAACCACAAGCCUUCGCUCGAGUCAGAACACUCAACUCCCGACUUGGAACCGGGCAGGCCAGUAAAUAGCCUUUCCGAGUCCGGCCCAAAGAGAUCGGCCCAAUGUCCCAUCACUUUAUUGUCUCUACUUGGAUUACAAGCCCGCGUUACCAAGCUCGACGUACAGUGUGAGUGAGCUAAACGUAUAUAUACAACAAGCAAACAUUUGUUUUCCCCGAUGUGGAACUUUACUAGCUAAAAAGACAUUUCAGUUUCUAUACGACAGCGUUCUGCUCGCAUCUUCAGUUGCACAGUCUGAAUUAUUAAUCUUUGACUUAAUUAUUCAUUCAUCCUCAACCCUUACUUUAUCUUCAAACGGUAACAAAACCUGUAAUAACCUUCAGAGUUUGUGAAAUUGCCUCUGGGGGAUUUGAAAAUCCUGAAAACAUUUUAAUAUGUUAAUUGAUGAUAUACCACUGAGGUUGCGAUAAAUAACAGUGAUGGAGAACCAAUUCAUCUCUACCUUAUGUCACUGUCUUCUCCCUCUACCUAUUGAAUUCUUACGACUUGAACCGUUUUUGUCAGUUUUGCGUUUGAGAUAUAUAUUUUGGCUAGAUUUUCAUGUAAGCCAUUGCUUUUCAACAGAUUGUUCAAAGCUUCAGAUUCAGGAGGCACUUCUGGCAAAUGGAAUGUAACUUGAUGUUCCUGAGGAUGGAUGAUACCACUUCUUGUUGUCAUUUGCUCAUGUCUAUGAAAUUAUAGUUGCAAUCUCUGUUGUUGAUGAUCUAAUUCAAAGACCAGAUGUAGAAAGGUCUGAUUGUUUGUGUUGGUGCAGCAACCAAUGAUGGAUCCAUGAGAGAAGAUAUUGGCUUCUCUUUAUAAGCAAAAUCAUUAGACAGACACAAUCAACUGAUCAUGCAUUUAAUCCUAAUGAUGAAGUUGAUCAUUAGGCUUCAGAAACUGUGUUAUUAUGUAGUUAGAGAGAUCAUAUACUUUGACGAACAAAACAGUAUCCAUUCCACCCUAUAUAUUAUAACUUUACUGUGUAGAAUCAGUAACCUUCAAACAAAAUUUACAAGCAAAUCAAUUCUGAAGUUUCAAAUUUCAAUAGCUUCUCUCUCUCUCUUCCCAUAUAAUCAGUCGAAACAUGUGUAGAAUGCUCUCUCAAGUCUCAAGUGUGUUCCUUGAAAAUUAUAUACCUUUCUGUACAGCUUUACUGGUCUGUCUUCAGACUAAUCAACUGAAGUCUUAAUUAGCUCGGGAACUUGAUCCAGCAAACGAUUCAUGUCAUCAGGGAACUCGUUCUUGGCUCUGUUGGUUCUUCCCGAAUCAACAAAGAUCGGAGAGAAGAUGAACAGUGAAAAUGAAAUGAUUCUCGUGUUGUCUAGGGUUCUUUUGGCCCAACAAUUUGUGGUGAAAAAAAUAAAAAAAAAGUGAUGGUCCAAUUGGAGCCGGCUUAUUGGGUCAUAGUGGGCUCGGGAGGCACCGGCCCGUAAUCCUUCCACCGUCGAAAGCGGGAGGUGGACGCUGCUCUGUGAAACCAGCCUCACGCGGUCUCCUCCGCUCUAAGAGUGUCCGAACCACAAGCCUUCGCUCGAGUCAGAACACUCAACUCCCGACUUGGAACCGGGCAGGCCAGUAAAUAGCCUUUCCGAGUCCGGCCCAAAGAGAUCGGCCCAAUGUCCCAUCACUUUAUUGUCUCUACUUGGAUUACAAGCCCGCGUUACCAAGCUCGACGUACAGUGUGAGUGAGCUAAACGUAUAUAUACAACAAGCAAACAUUUGUUUUCCCCGAUGUGGAACUUUACUAGCUAAAAAGACAUUUCAGUUUCUAUACGACAGCGUUCUGCUCGCAUCUUCAGUUGCACAGUCUGAAUUAUUAAUCUUUGACUUAAUUAUUCAUUCAUCCUCAACCCUUACUUUAUCUUCAAACGGUAACAAAACCUGUAAUAACCUUCAGAGUUUGUGAAAUUGCCUCUGGGGGAUUUGAAAAUCCUGAAAACAUUUUAAUAUGUUAAUUGAUGAUAUACCACUGAGGUUGCGAUAAAUAACAGUGAUGGAGAACCAAUUCAUCUCUACCUUAUGUCACUGUCUUCUCCCUCUACCUAUUGAAUUCUUACGACUUGAACCGUUUUUGUCAGUUUUGCGUUUGAGAUAUAUAUUUUGGCUAGAUUUUCAUGUAAGCCAUUGCUUUUCAACAGAUUGUUCAAAGCUUCAGAUUCAGGAGGCACUUCUGGCAAAUGGAAUGUAACUUGAUGUUCCUGAGGAUGGAUGAUACCACUUCUUGUUGUCAUUUGCUCAUGUCUAUGAAAUUAUAGUUGCAAUCUCUGUUGUUGAUGAUCUAAUUCAAAGACCAGAUGUAGAAAGGUCUGAUUGUUUGUGUUGGUGCAGCAACCAAUGAUGGAUCCAUGAGAGAAGAUAUUGGCUUCUCUUUAUAAGCAAAAUCAUUAGACAGACACAAUCAACUGAUCAUGCAUUUAAUCCUAAUGAUGAAGUUGAUCAUUAGGCUUCAGAAACUGUGUUAUUAUGUAGUUAGAGAGAUCAUAUACUUUGACGAACAAAACAGUAUCCAUUCCACCCUAUAUAUUAUAACUUUACUGUGUAGAAUCAGUAACCUUCAAACAAAAUUUACAAGCAAAUCAAUUCUGAAGUUUCAAAUUUCAAUAGCUUCUCUCUCUCUCUUCCCAUAUAAUCAGUCGAAACAUGUGUAGAAUGCUCUCUCAAGUCUCAAGUGUGUUCCUUGAUAAUUAUAUACCUUUCUGUACAGCUUUACUGGUCUGUCUUCAGACUAAUCAACUGAAGUCUUAAUUAGCUCGGGAACUUGAUCCAGCAAACGAUUCAUGUCAUCAGGGAACUCGUUCUUGGCUCUGUUGGUUCUUCCCCCCACCACCAAUGUUGUUCCGUUUUGUAGUGCCCAUAUCUUCAAAUCAUGUUUCACGUAAAACAACAUAAGAGGUUGUACUUAAAUAAAUGCCAAUGGAACAAAAUGGUAUAAAACAAGAUGUUUGAUAGAUAUUGUUACUGUUACCUGUGAAUGGGAUAAGUAACUGAUACAGGUUGUGAGCAUUAGAGCACCAAAACCAGCAUACACCACUGGUACUCCUGGGUCAGUCUGAUAAAGAAGAACACAAACGUGUUAUAUUUCUAUUUUUUGUGUCGAUAAACUUUCACCCAAGCGUUGUACCUUCAACUCAAGACCAGUGCUUCCUAUUGCAUCCUCAAUCACAAUCUUCAUACCAUCGAUCUCAAUGGGAAGCUUGGAGUUUGGUCUCCUUAUUCCUGCGAAUUUUCCUUCCAAAUCAUACACAACAAUCGAUUGUAGAUCCCUAGCAAGCAUCGAUCUGCAACAAACAACUCAAGUGGAGCAAAGUUAAGGCACAUACAAGAAACGACAAUGUAACUCCAUCUCUUGUACUGGUUUAGUUGUAAAGAGAGGGUUCUUACAUUCCUUUGACAUUGGGAGCAUUAGUUAAAAAGUGAUGGUCCAAUUGGAGCCGGCUUAUUGGGUCAUAGUGGGCUUGGGAGGCACCGGCCCGUAAUCCUUCCACCGUCGAAAGCGGGAGGUGGACGCUGCUCUGUGAAACCAGCCUCACGCAGUCUCCUCCGCUCUAAGAGUGUCCGAACCACAAGCCUUCGCUCGAAUCCGAACACUCAACUCCCGACUUGGAACGGGCAGGCCAGUAGAUAGCCUUUCCAAGUCCGGCCCAAAGAGAUCGGCCCAAUGUCCCAUCACCUUAUCGUCUCCACUUGGAUUACAAGCCCGCGUUACCAAGCUCGACA